UUUACUCUCCGCUAACCCUAAACCUUUCAAUUUCAAUUUUCAAACAAUCUCUCCUCUCACUACUCAGAGCCACCCGUCGUCCCCCUCGCCCCCCGCCCUCUCCGGCCUCCGCUAAGGCCAUCGCCGUACCAGAGCACCCGCAACCCGUCUCCUCUCGCCUCUUCCUCUCCACUCUCCUUUGACUAAGAAAACAUAAACACAGAUCGACCAUUGACAUUUCCUCGGUCUCAACUGGACCAAAAUAGUCUGUGUUUCCAUCAUACCGACGUUUCCUCAACCUCUCAAAACCAGUGAGUUUUAAAUUUUUUUUCUCAUUUCUAAUUAAUUAAUUAAUUAAUUUGGUUAAGGUUAUUGUUAUUUUUAAUACAGUUAAGCUUAUUGUUUAUACGUUUCUUCCUCAGUCUCCACUGGAUCAACACUGUCGGUGACUCGGUGUUUCCAUCAGACCGACGUUUCCUGAUUUCCUCAGCCUCUCAAAACCAGUGAGUUUUAUUUUUUUUUUUCUCCUUUCUAAUUAAUUCAUACAGUUAAGCUUAUUGUUAUUUUUAAUCAAUUUUGUUGGGUGAUGAAUUUUGGUUUAGGUUUAAAUUAGAAUUUAGAGCUAUUUGGGUGAUUAAAGCGAUUUUUUUUUUCCUUUGUUUGAAUAGAAGAGAUUUAGCAGUUUAGGAUUAUGAUUAUUUUUAAUCAAAAUUGUCGUUCUUACUUCUUACAAUUGUUUGCAGUUUAGGAUUAGAGUUGUCUUGUACAUGUAAUUUCAUAAUCUUACAUGUAAUUUUGCAGUUUAUUUUGUUGUUUUGUAAAUGUAAUUUCAAUAUCUGCUACUGUAAACUUGUGUUGCUUCUGUUGUUGUUGUUGUGUUGAUUCUGUUGUUAUAGCCUGUUGCUGUGUUGAUUUUGUUGCUUUGUUGGUUGAUUACUAAAAACAGAUGAAUUGUUGAUUUUGUUGCUGUGUUGGUUGAUUUAUAAGGUCACACCAAGUAGUUUGAUUAAAAUUAUGUUUAUAAGCCUGUGUUGAUUGACUUGAUUCUGCAAACUAGUUUUGUUUUGAUGGGUUUUUUUUAUUCGGUUUUGUUUUGUCAUUCUGUAAAAUGUAUUCAUUAUUCUGUUUUGGAUGAUCUUGAUUGGCAUUUUGUAUUCAUUAAAAUCAUGUUAUUCUUGUAUUCAUUGUUCUGUUACUUCUAUAAUUAUUUUUCCUCAUUGAUAGAUUUUCUAAGCUUGUUUUGACACAUUUUCUAAGCUUAUUUUAACAUGUUACUUCUGUAAUAUUUGUUUCAUUUUAAUUUUUAAACAUGAUUUUAAUCUUUAUGUUUAUUAAGUGCUGAAAAGAAUUGUGCAAGUGAUAAUGAACAUAUUUGCAUUUGGUAAUUACAUAUGGAAAAUCUUCAAAAUCAAAAUGCUUCAUCCACUGGCACUAUCCUAACAUCAACCAAUGCCCCAACUUCAAACACUAACCCAACACCAACUACUGCAGUAUCCACCACGGAAAAUAAAGGUAAACAACUUCAAGUCCUUGCAUCUAGAAAAAGAAAUGUUAAUGAUAAAAAAAAAGUCAUAAAUUUGGGAUCAUUUUACAAAACUUGAUGGUGAUCCUACAACCCCUAGAGCUGAAUGUAAUUAUUGUGAAAAGGAUUAUGCAUGUCAUACUAUUAUUAAUGGGACAAGUAAUAUGUGGAGUCAUUUGAAAGUAUGCAAAAAGUUUCAUUUUGUGGUUGAUAAGAAGCAAAACAAUUUGGUAUUAGAACCUAAUAAAGCAGGGGGUGAAUUAGGAGAUCGAAGUGUGGGAACUCUUAAGGCAAUAGGUUAUGAUUAUGAUGAAUGCAGAAAGGCACUAGUGAAAAUGGUUAUAAUUGAUGAGUUGCCUUUUAAUUUUGUGGAGGGUAAGGAAUUUAGAUUAUUUUCUAGGACCUUGCAGCCUAGAUUUGACAUUCCUUCUCGUUUCACUGUUAUGAGAGAUUGUUUGAAACUUUAUGUUGAAGAGAAGGAAAGAUUAAAGAGAGCUCUUAAAGGUCAACGAUUAUGUUUAACAACAGAUACAUGAACAUCAAUCCAAAACAUUAACUAUAUGUCCUUAACGGCCCAUUGGAUUGAUAAUGAAUGGAAUUUGCAUAAAAGAAUUCUGAAUUUUUGUCAAGUUUCCAAUCAUGUGGGUGAGACAAUUGGUCAAGUUAUUGAGAAUUGUUUGUUAGAUUGGGGGAUUGAUAAACUUUUAACUAUUACAGUAGACAAUGCAAGCUCUAAUAGUGUUACUAUUUCAUAUUUAAAGAAUGUGAUGAAAGAUUGGUCAACUAAUAUAUUGUCAAAUGAACAUUUGCAUGUUAGAUGUUGUGCACACAUUGUAAACCUCAUUGUAUGUGAUGGUUUGAAAGAGAUGAAUGUUUCGGUUGUUAAGAUUCGAAAUGCAAUUUGGUUUGUGAGAUCUUCACCCUCUAGGCUACUUGCAUUUAAGAAAUGUGCAGAAAAGUUGCAUAUCAAGUGUAAGAAAUCAUUGUGUUUGGAUGUUGCAACUCGAUGUAAUUCAACUUAUCUUAUGUUAGAAGCUGCUGAAAAGUUUGAAAAGGUGUUUGUAAGGUUAGGUCAAAGUGAACCUAGGUAUGUGAAUUACUUUUUGGAGGUUGAUUCAAAGGGGAAUAAAAAAAACAUAGGGCCACCUAGUUUGGAGGAUUGGGAAAAUGCUAGAACUAGGUGUUCCUCUGCUACUUCCUCCAUUGUAAAGCCUUGCUUCUCUUCCACAAACCUUUCAACUAUCCAUAGCCGGAUCAACUUCAUUCUUUUUAUCAAAUAAUCCUCUGGAAAAACACUUAAAUACAAAUAACACUGUUUGAGGUAGUAAGGAAGAUUAUCGUAACUUAGUUGAAGUAUUCUACGUAGACUCCCAAGGUCGUCGUUACUUUUCAAUUCUGUAGCUAGGCAGUCAUGGACUUUCUUCCAUUCCAAACCUCCGUUUUUCUUCUUCGACAGUAGGCCUCCUAUUGCUACAAUUGCAAGUGGCAGUCCCUCACACUUCUUUAAGAUAUUUCGAGACAUCUCUUCCAGUUCUGGAGGGCAUACAGCCUUAUGUUCCCCUCUGAAGGCUUUCAUACAAAAGAGGGUCCAAGCUUCAUUUUCUAAUAAAGCUUGGAGUUCAUAAACAUGACUAGUGUUCUCUAUAGAUUCAGCCAAGUUACUUAAACGUGUAGUGAAGAUAAUUCUACUACCACAGUUACAAUCAGGAAAUGCAUACUUUAUUGUUUCCCAAGCGUUUACAUUCCAUACAUCAUCCAAAACAAUGACAUACCUCCUUCUCCAUAGAUAAUUUCUUAGAGCAUCAAUUAAUUGGAAGUCAGUCAUUGAUUGCAAAUUAUCCGGAACAGGUUCGUUUGCUGUCACCAGAAACCCCUGCAGAGCAACUCGUAGGAGCUCCGUGGAUGCAAACGAUUUGGAAACUGUAACCCAAGAAUGGGUAUCAAAGCUUCUUCUGAUGGGGUGGCUGUCAUAGACUUUCUUUACGAG
rnacentral:lncRNA from 1 species